UCAAAAAAACUGUCUUGUAAACUAAUUCAGCGAAUAUAAAAAAUUCUUUGUGAAUUAAACUGAAUCAUGAUUUUAUUUAUAUUAUCUUCAUUUUGUAGCUGUGAAGAACCAGACCAAAAACAUAAUAAUUCUAAUGAUGUUUUUCCAAAUGCAGAACAGAUAUGGGGAAUGGUCGGUACUAUUUUAGCUACUCUUGUAUGUUGGAUUUUCUAUACAAAAUUAAGAAUGAGAAGAAAGAAACUAGAACAGCUUCAGUACGCUAAGCAGUUGGUCUGUAUUCCUCGAACUGGGACCAAACGGAGGGAACCCUAUUGAGAAUGUAUUUUAAUAAAAAUGCAGAUAAUGUUUCAAAUUUUA